AAACGAUAGACAGGUUAGUUCAGCUGGUUGUACACAGUCGAGUUCACCUGCAGAGUAUUUUAAUUUACUAUUUCUUCUAAUUGCUUGUGUUGAAUAAACCUUCAGUAGGUUCCUUUUGACCUACAGAGAAAGCAGAUGGAUUAUACCAACCUCACACUUUUUAUCUUUAUAUGGAUUUUUGUUCCAUCCUGAUGAUCAGACGAGUGUUUGAGGAUUUAACAGAUUUCUUGAGAACAACAUGGACGUUAACCCUGUAAAUCCUGAACCAUGAAAUCAUUGAUCGAUAAUUCAAAUUUUAUUGGUCCAACGCAUCAAACGUGACUCCAACGUCACUUCCGUACGAGACGUUGCAUCCUGUAAGUGUGGAGUUUGACCGAGCGGCUGAACGACAGAUCUGUUCUAACAGUCAGUGACUUUCAGCUUUGUUUAAACCUUAAAUUUAAUCUUGUGUCGUCAGAUUUAAACUCAGGUUCAGUUAUUGAGUGAAAAUACCAACAGACUCAGACAUUUAGGACAAACUAAGAGUCAGAUCAGCAGAAACAGAGAACACGGACAUGUCUGCUGUAACUGCGUCACUCUGCUCCACUUUGCUGAUGUUUGAUGGAGUCUUCAUGUUUGUCUCUGCAGAUUUUCCACCCUGAUGACCACAGAGGCCUUUGAGGGUCCCAGACGUCCUUCAGAACAACAGUAAG